AAUUGUCACAAACACCUCUGGUGAAGGGUUAGGAUUUCUUUUUGCACCAAUCUUCUUUGAAUUUUCUUUUCUAUUUUUAUUUUUAAUGUAUAUUUUAUAUCCCAAUUUAAUAUGUAAGUCAUUAUGGGACAUCCACAUUAAAAAUAAAAUACUUUUAUAUUAAUUUGAUGUCAGUUUUAGAUACAGUAUAAGAUAAGGUUAAGCUUGAAUUAUUUGUGAAAAAUUGUUAUGUGAUUUAUCAUAUGUAUUUAUGAACUAACAAUUAUAGCUAAUAUACUAACUCCAUAUAAUGGAUUCUAAUAUACCUCAGAUAUGAGCCCAGAGAGGUUAUGUAAUGGUUGGUAGAGAAAAUAAAUACUGUUGUACUAAGUGAGUGAAUGUUGUUGUAGACCACUCUCACCAACACUACAGCUAUAUUAUGACAGGUAAAUAAUAUGUCUGAGCCAGUUGAUCAAGGGAUUGAUAGUGUGAGCAGCGACUGACAUUGUAAUUACGUGAUGACAGUAAACUCGAUAUAUCGUAACUACCAUAUACCUGUUUGAAGUACAAGCUACAUGGUUCCUAUACUACUCUUGUAGAUGGUCUGUGUUGUGUGCUUCUCGUUGAUGUGUAGUUUUAUAUUUAAGUGUGGGCUUAUAUCUGAGAAAUUGUGUUAUUUGUCAAACAAUAAUACUGCUGUACUAGAAGGGCCUGCAUCUAUGCAACAAUCUGCCACAUGAUGUACUAAUGUCACCCAGAUAUAGUAUAUAAUAUUCACUCAUCUCAUACAUCAUAUUCGUCACACAUUGUCAAUGAUGACACAACUUGUGUUAUUUAAGAAUGCACCAGAAUUAUUCUCAUCAUGAAAAUCAUGAUUUCACAUAAGCACAUGUUGAACUGUUAUUUUUCUUUCCAUGCACAUGGUCAGUUGAUUCCUAGUUUUUAAUCUUCUGUAUGGUUUUUCAUUUAUUUAUUUAGUGAUGUAAAACCUAAAAUGUUGCACUGUGAACAUAUACCACUCAAUAAAGUUAAGGAACAUCCAAGUUUUUCACAUGACUAUAGUAAACCUGUCUCACCAUGAUUAACUAAUAGUUAUGUGAAAACCUUGGCUGUUCUUGACUUCUUUGAGUAGUGUAUAUGCAGGAAUGAUAAAACUCUUCAAUGUUUUUGAUAAAAACUGGAGUUAUGAAAAUUGGUUUAUUUGAAAACUGAAAAUAAAAAGAAUUGAACAGGUUUGUGUUGCACUUUGACAGACCUGUUUUUAUGUUUUUACUUUUUGGAAGUUUCAUCAAAUAAAACAUGUAGUAACAUUUCAGGUUUUACGUCUAAGUAUUACAUGGUCAUUGUCUUGUCUUGAACACACUUGAUAAUAAUAUUUCUGCAUUGGGUUUUAAUUUCAAAAUAUGGAAAUCAGGUGAAAAGCACAAAUUCUGCUUUCAAGCACAAAUAAUUCGCACAGUGAUAAUUCACUAAAUUUGGAUAGUUUCACUAACAGCUGUCGGAUAGGAUCAGAAAAUGCUGAUUGUUGAUUACAGAAUAAAGAUGUAUUUAUCUGAAGUUCAUAAAUAUUUGUUGAUUCAUAAUUUAUGUGCGUUUGUUCAGUCAGAUUGUAGUAUAGGAUCUUGCUUUUAUUGUAGAACAUGUAAAGAAAUAAUGUAUAUAAUUAUUUCAUGAAGGACAUGAACACUUCUAGUAUUAAUACAUUAUGAUCUCUUUUAUCACUUGAAAUAAUUGAUACCCUUUGAUAUUAUUGGAGUCAGACCAGAUUAAUUUCCAUUUUUCACAUUCUCUCUGUCAACAUGCCCAUGGCCAAAUUUGAAACAUUUUCAUUGAUGAUUUGAGGUUAAUUUCUUAGAUCAGGCCAGACCAAUUUUGUUUCUUGUUUUACAGAUUUUUGUCCUCAUUAAACCUAAAGGGAGGAGGGAGAAAAUAU